rnacentral:lncRNA from 1 species
CGGAAAUUGAAGAGGGAAAUCCCAGAAUGGCUGAAACCACAGUAGAGAGAAAACUGAGGUACAGAGAGACUAAGUAGAGGUCGGUUAUAAAGAGCUGAUAAAGCAGACUUGGAUCUCAAGAUCAACUUGAAGGAAAUCCUGACACUUUUCUGGAAUUAUUCAUUGGGAGGGGGCGAACUGUUGCUUGAAGGACGCCCUGGAGACGAAGAGAACUUGGGUGUGAGUGGUGUGCUGUCUUCCCUGCUCUUGUGGGUGCUCCUAGAAGCUCCAAGCUGCCGUGGGGCACCAUCCUGGCUUUCCCUUUCUCUUGUAAGGUGCAUUUGAUUCAAGACACACCUGACGUGACCUGUUGAGCAUGCACUGUACAUCUGCUUCAAACAUUUACAACGUUCCAGAGCCAAGAAAGAUGCUCUCAGAUCCUAAGGGGCUAAAACAAGGUCCAGAAAAUUGGUGGCAAUCAAUAAGUUUAUUGUUAACUACAUGACGAGGAAACCGAUGCUUUGUGAAUUCAGUUGCCUGAUUUAUGGAGGACAAGCCUCUGGCCUUGUUUCUAAAUUCCAUUCAAGGCAUCUACACUAAAAAACAGAUGGGACACGGACGCUAAGAAACUCUCCCAAGGACAAGGAUACACAACCAAUAAGCAGCAGAGUCAACAUCACAUGGUAGUCAAGUUCCAGAAUCUAUACCCUUAACCUCUGCAAUCUGCAGACUUUCUUCUGAUAGCCACCCAUUGACUACAAACAAAGGGGAUGGCCAGUAACCCAGCUGACACAAGUGAGUCAUAUGACUCCAUCAGGAAUGGAAUUAAUUGGUCCACUGUGGAAUUCUUCCACCUUGUUCUGCAGCCCAAAGGCAGAAGCAGAGGAAAUAGAUAUUGAAUUUUCCAAGAGUUGGGGUCAGACUGGUCACUGGAAUCUCAAGAGGGGCUUUAAAAAAACGCUGAAUUCUGAGAGCUAUCGUGGAGCAAUAAUAUGGAAAAACUAGGGGUGAGGUCCAGGAAUUUUUUUAAAAAGGGUCCCUCAGUG